rnacentral:piRNA from 1 species
AAAUCCCCAGACAGCUCGUCAGG